GGAUUAGGCAUGCAAGUCGGACGGGAUCUCUUGGAUCUGAUCCUUCGGGUGAAGAACCUUGAGUGAGAGUGGCGAAAGGGUGAGUAACACGUGGGUAAUCUGCCCUGAAACUCGGGAUAGCCCUUGGAAACGAGGAGUAAUACCGAAUAUGGUCGUCUCGGGCAUCCGAGAUUGAUCAAAGAUGGGGAUCCUUCGGGACCCAUCGCUUGGAGAGGGGCCCGCGCGCUAUUAGCUAGUUGGUGAGGUAACGGCUCACCAAGGCUCAUGGCUAGCUGGUCUGAGAGGGUGAUCGGCCACACUGGGACUGAGACACUGCCCAGACUCCUACGGGAGGCUGCAGUCGAGAAUCAUUCGCAAUGCCCGAAAGG
rnacentral:rRNA from 1 species